CCAUGCUCACAGCAUGCAGAGGUUCCUGGCCAGGGAUCAAACCCAUACCAAAGCAAUGACCUGAGCCACAGCAGUGACAAUGCCUAUCCUUAACCCACUGAGCCAUCAGGAAAACUCCAAAACUAAUGUUUUUCAAAUAAAAAUUUUCUUGAUAUAGAAAGAUACAAUACACUAUGGUUAUAAAAUUAUAGUCAAUGCACCAAGAAAAUCAAGGACUUAGGAAAGAAAAACAGCCAAUUUUUGAAAGGAAAGGAGAAAAAAUUAUUUGUAGGUUUUGCUAUAGCUAAGGGAUGGAAGAAUGUGUGCUAGGAGUCACUAAUAAGUCCCUAAUGCACAUGUAAGUAAUAAUAUAAAAGCCAAGCAGGAAAGACUUGAAAAAAAGAUGCUAUCUAUUGUUACACAUUGCCUCUAACAAAUAAUUGCUAAAAAGCCUGCAUAUGGAGGACAGUAUUAUUUGCAUAUGAUCAAAAGAAUACUACUGAAUAACUGCAUUUUAAGUAACAUCUAAAACAAAAUGAAUACAUUUCCAGUGCUUCGAAAGAAAACCCCAUCCUGGAAAAAUUCCUGCUUUAUUUCUAUCUACAGAAAAAUUUUUCUGGAAGAUAUUUUAAAUACCAGCAUAAUAAUAGACACAUCACAAUUAUUUAUCUUCACUAUCUUCUUUACUAUUUAAGAUAAAAAGCCAAAGGACAGGUCUAUGAACACAAAAAGCAUAAAAAACAAUCCCUCUGUCAAUACUCGUAUUUACAAAAAGGCAUCUGAAUGGCCCACCAUCCAAAGUGCUCCCUGUAGCCCAGAAAUGGGAAUCACAAGUUUGACAGAUAACAGAACACUGCACACAUCUACUAAAGCUUUUGCUUUAUACUAAGAAUUUUAAGCCAGAAAAAUACUUCAAAUGGAGUAUAAAUGUAUUUGAUGUCAGGAGUUUAUUAUCUCAAUUCUAUAAACAGGAAGAUAGAAAUACAGUCUUGGAAUAUUUAAGAAUCAUUGGCGAACAUUAUCCCUUUCUCUUAUCCUAUCCUAUCCUCAGACUUUCAUUUUUUGUUACACAAGAAAUAUAUACACACAAGGCAUAUACUUAGAUGUUAUACAGUCAUCCAAAACUAAACACAUCCAAAACAUCUUUCCUAACACUCCUAUCAGUCAGCCAGACCGAUAUGUUCUCCGGUGUCCAAGUUUUUAAACUCCCCAUAAAUCUUUGACUUUUCUCUCUAGUCUGCUCACGUUAAAUCUUGUUCACUUUGAUUGUAUAAGAAAUUAUAACUGUUCAUUCAACACAACUGGAGUUUACAACCUAACUAUCUGGUAAUCAGUGUUUGCCUCUACCCUCAAUCUUUCCCAUUUAUCCUUUACUUUCUAGAAUCUUGUUUCUGAAGAGUUAUUUCCCAUGUCAUCCUUUGGCAAGGGCAGAUAAAGAAUUAUAUGAGUAAAAUUAGCAUUUCUUGAGUAUUUCUUAUAUCUCAAGAGCUCCUAUGUAUUUUCUCAUUAUCACAUUCAAUCUCUCUCAAGGUAAACGCGAAGUUAGUUACAUGGUGGGGGUAGUGAAAGGAAAGACAAAAUAUUUGUAUUAAAAAGUUAUUUCCUUAUCCUUCCUCACUCUUUUGAAUCUUAUUUUAAUUGAAUUGCCACUAAAUGGAUAUUACUUACUCAACCUAUAGACUUGUACAAGUGACAGAUUUUCUGAGUACACCUCUCUUUAUAUAUCAUAUUGCUUUUUGAUACUCCAAGACCUAGAAGAUUCAAUUGGUUCUCAACUCAACUCAAACAUUAAGAGCAGUAAUGUAUAUCUACUGAGCACCUACUAUGUACAAGGCACUUGGCUAUAUGUGUUCAUGCCUAAUUUCAUUUUAUCCGCACAACUAUUGCCUGAGGUUAAGCACUAUAAUUAUCUCCAUUUUGGAAAUUUAAAAAGCAACACAGAAAAGUCAUUAAGUCACUUCUCCAAGACAACCUACCUGAGAAGUAGUAAAACUGGGACUCAAAUCCAUGUAUGACUCUAAAACCCAUAUUCUGAAUGAUUCCUCUCUCAUGAGUGUAAAGCUCCCCCCACAACCUCCAUCUUACCUUAUUACUUUCACUUUUUCUUCUACUUUGGCAAAAAUUUGUCAUCCUUUACAUGUGACUUCCCUGAAAAGUCUAUUAACAGUCUCCCAAAAAUGAUCCAUUUCCUUUCCACCUUCAAAAUUCUACUUUAUUCUCUUCAUCUUAUAAAACCUUCUUAGAUUAGUACCAUCCAUUUCCAGUCUAGAUGAUACAGUGCCAGCCACCACUCCUGGCCUCUGUUCUCUCCAAAUAUUUCGUGCUUUGGUACAAAGAACUAGUGUUAUGUAUAUGUAUUCUUGUCACUUGACAUUAGCACAGUCCAAUUUAAUCUCACGAAGAACAAAGAACAGCAAGGUACAACACUAGCAAACAAUAGAUUUAAUUAUAUUUAUGUAGAUAACUUGGUUAUAUCCUAAGAAUGUGAUUUGAUGAGAGAUUUUUCAUAUCCCUGCAAAGUAUAUACUCUUAUCAUUUCCCAUUUGCAGCCCAAAUCUUCUGUUUACCUAAGUAUGUCUGGAGUUUCUGAUGAUACUAAGGAGAUAUAAUACAAGCACUACAAAUGAGAAGCUGUAGUUUAGUGUAGCAAUUGUUUAUGUGGAUUGCAAACGUUUCUUUAAAACUGUGAGAGAAACACUAUCUCUACAGUGUUCUUGAAAAAUAAAGGGAAGAGAAACAAAGAGAGGAUGGCACAGUCUGUUCUUCCUCAGAGUGCUAAAUACAUGGCAUUGGCACUGCUAUUGGAAUGUUUCCAUCUACCAUUGCAACUGGGCGGCACCAACCAAGAAUGCAUUCUUUAGCUGCUACCUUUUGGGAAAACUUAACAAAACAAACACCUUGAACAUUCUUGAGACCUUCACUAUUCUGAAAAACCAACUGCAGAACCAGUUCAAAUGACCCCUUAUUAAUCUUAAUUAAUACCAUCUAGAUUUCUUUUUAAGCAUAUUUUCAUUUUAACAUUUUUAAUGUAAGGUCGUACAGUCCAAAAUACAAAAAGUACAUUUUAAACUCCCUUUUGACCCCUAGCCUGGGAACCUCUAUAUGCCGUGGGUGCAGCCCUAAAAAGACAAAAGACAAAAAGAAAAAAGAAAAAAACAUACUCUGGAAACUAGUUCUAUAUUAGGGCAUAAAGAGCUUCAUCAUUCUCUUUUAUGGGUCGUAUAGUAUUAUAUUGAAUGAGGUAACAUACUUCAUUCAACCAGUUCCCUACUAAUGAACAUUUAGAUUAUUUCCAAGCUUAUAAUAAAUGCUAUAAUUAUUUUCAAAUACAUAAAAAUUUUUUACAUGCAAAUAUAUAUAAAAGCUUAAUUCUAAGAAUUGUAACUGCUGGGUCAAAGGAUUAAAAAAUUUCUUUUGUCAUUUAUUUAUUUUUUCUAGUUAUAUUUUCCCAGUGUUAUUGGGAAAUAUAUCACUGUAUAAGUUUAAGGUAUACAGCAUGAUGGUUUAAUUUACAUAUCUAGUAAAGUGAUUACUACAAUAGAUUCAAGCUAAUAACCAUCUUCUCAUAUCGAUCCAAUAAAAAGAUAAAAGGAAAAAAUUUUCUUCUCAUGAUGAAAACUCAUAGUAUAUACUCUCUUGACAACUUUCCUACAUAUCAUACAGCAGUGUUAGCUACAGUCAUGAUGUACAUUACCAAAAUUUUGAUAGAUAUUGCCAAAAAAGGUUAUAACAAUUUAUAUUUCCAACAGCAAUUUGUAAGACUGCCUGUCUCUACACCCCUUUCAUCGCUGUUACCAAACUUUUUGAUCUCUGCCAAUCUGAUAGAUUUUUUAAAAGGUGGUUCCGUGAAGUUUUACUUUGUUCUGACUCUUAUUCAGUAGAAUGGAGUGGUUAAGCGUGUGGGUUCUGGGGCUAUACCUCCUGGCUCUGCCACUCAUUUGGUUACGCAUUCACUGUGCAACGAUGGGCAAGUAACUUAACUUCUGUGCCUCUACUUCCUCAUAAAUCGGGUGGGGCAAUAGUAGUCCAAUUUCAAAUGUUCUUAUGAAAAUCAGGUGAGUUAAUACAUUUGAAGCACCUAGAAUUGUGCCUGGCACACAGUAAACACUUGCUAAACCAUAGUUAUUUUUAUCUUGAGUAAGGGUGGGCAAUUUUGUUUGCAUGUUUAAGAGUUAUUUGUACUGCUUUUUCUAAUUGUCUUUCCAUGCCUUUUGUCGUUGUUUUAUUGGAUUAGAAUCCAAAAUAUACAGAACUACUACAAAUCAAUAAAACAAGCCUAACAGAAAAGCAGGCAAAGGAUGUAAUAGGUCACGAAAAAAGUAAAAACUGGUCCAUUUUAAGUCUUAGCCACUAUCACAACAGCAUUCUCCCCUUAAAAACUUAUUGAAACGUGACACUUAAUGGAGUUUUUGCUUCCCUUACUCUCUCUCCAGCUACUUUUCUGAGUCUCAGUUCAUCUGUUUCUUUUCUCACAGAAAUUUUCCCAGACAUUCAUAACACUUGUCAGGCUCUGAAAUUAUUCUUAGUUAUUGACUUAUUUUUUUGUCUGUCUCUCUGUACUAAAGUGUAUGGUCUUUGAGGGUAGCAUACUCGUCAGACAUGUUCAGUGCUGUAUUCCCAGCACCUAGAAGAAUCUCUGGGUUAGACAAAGCAAGUAGUAUUUAUCUGAUUGAUGACACUGUUUAAAGUUAAAUUGAAACUAGAACCCUCAUAAAGCACAGAUAAGAAUAUAAAUGGUGCGGCCACUAUGGAAAAAAGUCUAGCAGUUCCUCAAAGAUUAACAUAGAGUUACCUUACCAUAUGACAUGGCAAUACCACUCCAAGGUAUACACCCCCAAAAAGUGAAAAUAUAUGUCCAUACAAAAACUUAUACUUGAAUGUUCCUUACAGCAUUAUUCAUAAUAGCCAAAAAAAGUGAAAUAACCCAAAUAUCCAUCAAUUGAUGGGUAGAUAAAUAAAAUAUUCAGUCAAUGGAAAACCAUUCUGCAAUUUAAAAAAAAUGAAAUAUUGAUAUAUGCUGUAACAUGGAAGAACGUUGAAAACAAAAUGCUGAGUCAAUUACAAAAGACCACAUACUGUAUGAUUUCACUGAUUUGAAAUGUCAAAAACAGGCAUACUGGAGUUCCCGUCGUGGCUCAGUGGUUCACGAACCCAGCUAGCAUCCAUGAGGACACGGGUUCAAUCCCUGGCCUCACUCAGUGGGUUAAGGAUCUGGUGGUGCCAUGAACUGUGGUGUAGGUUGCACAUGCAGUUCAGAUCCCGUGUUGCUGUGGCUCUGGCGUAGGCUGGUGGCCACAGCUCCGAUUAGAUCCCUAGCCUGGGAACCUCCAUAUACUAAAAGACAAAAAGACCAAAAAAAGCCCUAAAAGACAAAAAAGACCAAAAAAAAAAAAAAAAAAAAAAAAGGCAAACUUGGACAGAAAAGUAGGUUAGUGGUUGCCUAGAGCUAGGGGUGAGGAGAAAAUUGGAAGGAAAUGGGUAUGAGGCUUGUUUAAGGAAGUAAUGAAAAUUUUCUAAGAUUGAUUUUUGUGAUGGUUGCACAUUUCCGUGACUAUGCCUUAAAAAAAGUACUGGAUUUUCCACUUUAAGUGGAUGAACUACAUUAUGCGAAUUAUAUCUCAAUAGAGUUGCUAUUUUUUUAAAGUUAAAAUUUCGAUGUUUGACACUGAAGGAAUGGAGAUAUCACUACCACUUUACUGGAACUGAUGUGUGGAUUUGGGAAGAAAAGAAGAGGAGGAGGGAGGAAAAAAAAUCUCCUUUUUAGAGUGCUAAAGUCAUUCUAUUACCUAAAAAGAUCAUUCAUAGAUAAUCCAAUUUCAUUUUUUUUCUUCUCCAAACUGAUCUAGAACUGAAUAACCUCUGUCUUGUUUUCUCUUGUUCAAAGCUCUUCUUAUAAGACUCAUCUGCAGCAAAUGUGGAACCAGAUCUCCAUACACCAUUACUGUGUAAGCCUAACACUGCUUCUUGGCAUGAAGCUGAGACAGGGGAGGACAUCAGGAAAAGCCAGCAUUCAUUUGCGAGUUAUAACACUGAUGAGGAGUUCAGGUAGCAGGCAGGACUGUGUUCUGUUAUGCAACACCACUCUGGCACUUUCAUAGUAAUCUGAAAGCCACAUACAUUUUAUGGUCGCAAAUGCUCUAAUUCUUUCAUCUUUAAUAAAGAACCAUAGAUAAGAGGCUUUUUAAAUAUCAUUCUUAACCUUUUAAGCUACUGUUUUAUGAAAUAACUGAAGACCCUUUAUAGAUAUCCUAUAGUCAUCGCAAAUGUUCUCAGAGCAUUAAACUGAGUUUAGACAAAGUUGAUUUAUUUCUAAUGCCCUCAACCUAAAUCUUUCUGGUUUAAAGUACUCUGAAGGUUGCCUUCCAGAGCCAUGUUACAAAAAAUUCAGAGAAAGUAAGACUACAGUAAAUAAGAAAGGUACAGGAGUUCUCGUUGUGGGGCAGCAGAAACUAAUCCAACAUGGAACCAUGAGGUUGUGGGUUCGAUCCCUGGCCUUGCUCAGUGGGUUAAGGAUCCGGUGUUGCCAUGAGCUGUGGUGCAGGUCACAGAUGCAUCUCGGAUCUGGCAUUGUUGUUGCUCUAGCAUACGCUGGCAGCUACAGCUCCGAUUAGACCCCUAGCCUGGGAGCCUCCAUAUGCCUCAGGUUCGGCCCUAAAAAAAAGAAGAAGAAAGGUACAGGCCUUGGAGCCAGAUAAAUCUCAGUUUGACUCUAGCAUCGUCACUUACCAGCCAUAUAAUCUGAGGCCAGUAACCUAACUUUGCUAAUCCUUAGUUUUCUAACCCAUACAAUUAGAAAUGGAAUAAUACAAAUUUAUGGCGGUCUUAGGAGUCAGCAAGAAAAUGUAAUACUUUCUUCAUUACCAGCACAUUCUUGGUAUAUUGCAGGAACUUACUGCUGUAAAUACUAAUUUCUUCUCCCUAUUUAGUCCUCUUCCUAAUCAUACUUCAAUAAUGAGCACCAAAGGAUAAAGCUCAAAAGUAAUCUCUCUUAAGCCAAAUUGCAUGCUGAAGCAACACAGAGGCAAAAUCAUACAGUAGUUAAGAUGACACAGACUCUGAAACUUCCAGAAAUAAGAACAUAGCAGUGUAGAUAUUUCAAAAAUCUCACAAAACUUUGUCAUUAUAACCAGACAGAGCAAUCAGGAA
rnacentral:lncRNA from 1 species